AAUUCGAUUAGUUUGAUCAUGGCUCAGGACGAACGCUGGCGGCGUGCUUAACACAUGCAAGUGGAGCGACGAACCAGGGCUUGCCCUGGGGCAGAGCCGCGAACGGGUGAGUAACACGUGGGUUACCUGCCCCGAUGAUUGGGGCAACCCGAGGAAACUCGGGCUAAUACCAAAUGUGCUCCUGGCCAUAAUGGCCUUGAGGAAAGGAAGCUUCGGCCUCCGCAUCGGGAUGGGCCCGCGGCCCAUUAGCUAGUUGGUGGGGUAACGGCCUACCAAGGCGACGAUGGGUAGCUGGUCUGAGAGGACGAUCAGCCACACUGGGACUGAGACACGGCCCAGACUCCUACGGGAGGCAGCAGUGGGGAAUCUUGCGCAAUGCGCGAAAGCGUGACGCAGCAACGCCGCGUGGGGGAAGAAGGCUUUCGGGUUGUAAACCCCUUUCAGUUGGGACGAAGCUCCGCCGGUGAAUAGCCGGCCGGAGUGACGGUACCUUCACAAGAAGCACCGGCUAACUACGUGCCAGCAGCCGCGGUAAUACGUAGGGUGCAAGCGUUGUCCGGAAUCAUUGGGCGUAAAGAGCGUGUAGGCAGCUCGAUCAGUCCGCUGUGAAAGUCCAGGGCUCAACCCUGGAAAGCCGGUGGAUACUGUCGGGCUAGAGUACGGAAGAGGCGAGUGGAAUUCCUGGUGUAGCGGUGAAAUGCGCA
rnacentral:rRNA from 1 species